GGGUGGUUCAGUGGUAGAAUUCUCGC
rnacentral:piRNA from 6 species